rnacentral:lncRNA from 1 species
CAAGAGCUCCUCCUGGAGCUGUUUGAUCUCAAGCUUCUUGUUCAACUUCUCAGCGCUCUUUUCGAGAGUCUGUAAAGCCUGAGAAGCUCCAGGUCCUGAAGAGGGAAGGAAUUGUAACACUAAUAUUCCUAUUUAUUGGGUUUUUUUCCCCCUACUCAAGCCAAGUGAAAUGACAUGCACAGAGAUCUGGGCUGAUGAGAGGCACAUAAAUGCCAGUGUUUAGUAUCUGGAUUAGUCACAGAAGAAAGCAAAUCAUGAGCUUGUCUCUCCGAGCUGCCAAGCUGCUGACAAAGUCUUUCAGAAAUAAUGAAGCUGAGUUUAUCAAUGAAGUUUGUGUCAAGAAGAAAUGCCUGGGAAUGUUUGCCUGGACAACCUCUUCCUGCAGGAGCUCCACUUGAAGUCAAGGUAAUGAUGAAGUUGGUUUUAUACACAAAAAACUGGAAUUAAUUUACCUGCACACUCAUGU